rnacentral:rRNA from 1 species
UGGGGAAUAUUGCGCAAUGGGGGAAACCCUGACGCAGCAAUACCGCGUGAGUGAAGAAGGUUUUCGGAUCGUAAAGCUCUGUUAUUGGGGAAGAAAAAAAGACGGUACCCAAGAAGAAAGUUCCGGCUAACUACGUGCCAGCAGCCGCGGUAAUACGUAGGGAACAAGCGUUGUCCGGAUUUACUGGGCGUAAAGGGCACGCAGGCGGUUUUUUAAGUCAGAUGUGAAAGGUACCGGCUCAACCGGUGACAUGCAUUUGAAACUGAAAGACUUGAGUAUUGGAGAGGCAAGUGGAAUUCCUAGUGUAGCGGUGAAAUGCGUAGAGAUUAGGAGGAACACCAGUGGCGAAGGCGGCUUGCUGGACAAAUACUGACGCUGAGGUGCGAAAGCGUGGGGAGCAAACA